UCCCCGAAAUAGCUUUAGGGCUAGCCUCAGGGAAGAUUAUAGACGGUAGAGCACUGAUCUGGCAAGGGGGCGUAAAGCCUACCGACCCUAGUCAAACUUCGAAUGGCUAUAAUUAAGACCCUGGGAGUCAGACUGCGAGUGAUAAGACCCGUAGUCAAGAGGGAAACAGCCCAGACCGCCGACUAAGGUCCCCAAUGCUGUACUAAGUGGAAAAGGAUGUAAGACUUCAUAAACAACCAGGAUGUUGGCUUAGAAGCAGCCACCAUUAAAAGAGUGCGUAAUAGCUCACUGGUCGAGAGGCCUUGCGCCGAAGAUGUCCGGGGCUCAAGUACAGAACCGAAGUCGCGGCAGGAUUAUAUAAUUCUGGGUAGGGGAGCGUUGUAUAUCCGACUGAAGGUGUACCGGAAGGAGCGCUGGAGGAUAUACAAGAGAGAAUGCCGGUAUGAGUAGCGAAAAGAACAGUGAGAAUCUGUUCCACCGAAAGCCUAAGGUUUCCUGAGCAACGCUCGUCGACUCAGGGUAAGUCGGGACCUAAGCCGAGGCAAAAAGCAUAGGCGAUGGACAACAGGUUAAUAUUCCUGUACCGCUUCAAAUCGUUUGAGCAAUGGAGUGACACAGAAGGUAGCUUGAGCACGCGAAUGGAUGUGCGUGUCGAAGGUGGUAGGUUGCAGUAUAGGUAAAUCCGUACUGUAUAAGACCGAGAACUGAUAGAUAGACGAUACUUCGGUAAAGUCAAAUUCAAGUGAGCCAUGCUGUCGAGAAAAGCUUCUAGUGAGAGAUGAGGCGCCCGUACCGAAACCGACACAGGUAGGCGGGGAGAGAAUCCUAAGGUGCGCGGGACAACCCUCGUUAAGGAACUCGGCAAAUUGUAUCCGUAACUUAGGGAUAAGGAUAGCCGGAGGAUGUGAAGGGAUUUACUUCUGGAGCGUCAGCCGGUGGCACAAGAGAGGCCCAAGCGACUGUUUAGCACAAACACAGGUGCCUGCAAAAGAGAAAUCUGACGUAUAGGUGCUGACACCUGCCCGGUGCUGGAAGGUUAAGAGGAGGGCUUAGAGGAAACUCGAAGGCUUGAAUUGAAGCCCCAGUAAACGGCGGCCGUAACUAUAACGGUCCUAAGGUAGCGAAAUUCCUUGUCGGGUAAGUUCCGACCCGCACGAAAGGUGUAACGAUUUGGGCACUGUCUCAACGAGGGACCCGGUGAAAUUGAAGUACCUGUGAAGAUGCAGGUUACCCGCGACUGGACAGAAAGACCCCAUGGAGCUUUACUGCAACCUGACAUUGAUGUUCGGUAAAUAACGUACAGGAUAGGUGGGAGACGGAGAAGUAUUGGCGUUAGCUGAUAUGGAGUCAACCUUGGGAUACCACCCUUUAUUUAUUGGACCUCUAACUGAAGAAGUAACGACUCUCAGGACAGUAUCAGGCGGGCAGUUUGACUGGGGCGGUCGCCUCCCAAAAUGUAACGGAGGCGCCCAAAGGUUCCCUCAGCGCGAACGGAAACCGCGCAAAGAGUGUAAAGGCAGAAGGGAGCUUGACUGCGAGUCAGACACGACGAGCAGGUACGAAAGUAGGGCUUAGUGAUCCGGUGGUUCCGAGUGGAAGGGCCAUCGCUCAACGGAUAAAAGCUACCCUGGGGAUAACAGGCUAAUCUCUCCCAAGAGUCCAUAUCGACGGGGAGGUUUGGCACCUCGAUGUCGGCUCAUCACAUCCUGGGGCUGGAGCAGGUCCCAAGGGUUGGGCUGUUCGCCCAUUAAAGUGGUACGUGAGCUGGGUUCAGAACGUCGUGAGACAGUUCGGUCCAUAUCCAUCGCGGGCGUAAGAGACUUGAAGGGGGCUGCUCCUAGUACGAGAGGACCGGAGUGGACGGACCAAUGGUGUACCAAUUAUCCCGCCAGGGGUACAGUUGGGUAGCUACGUCCGGAAAAGAUAAACGCUGAAAGCAUCUAAGCGUGAAACUUGCCUUAAGAUGAGGUCUCCCGAAGCGAAAGCUUGA
rnacentral:rRNA from 1 species